rnacentral:misc_RNA from 1 species
GAAAUGCGAUAAGUAAUGUGAAUUGCAGAAUUCAGUGAAUCAUCGAAUCUUUGAACGCACAUUGCGCCCGCCAGUAUUCUGGCGGGCAUACCUGUUCGAGCGUCAUUUCAACCAUCAAGCCCCCGGGCUUGUGUUGGGGACCUGCGGCUGCCGCAGGCCCCGAAAACCAGUGGCGGGCUCGCUGUCACACCGGGCGUAGUAGAUUUUUCGUCUCGCCCAGGGCGUGCUGCGGGUUCCGGCCGUUAAAAAGCCUCUCUUUUAACCCAAGGUUGACCUCGGAUCAGGUAGGAAGACCCGCUGAACUUAAGC